AUUGAACGCUGGCGGCAUGCUUUACACAUGCAAGUCGAACGGUAACAGGCCUUCGGGCGCUGACGAGUGGCGAACGGGUGAGUAAUGCAUCGGAACGUGCCCAGUCGUGGGGGAUAACGCAGCGAAAGCUGUGCUAAUACCGCAUACGAUCUAUGGAUGAAAGCGGGGGACCGUAAGGCCUCGCGCGAUUGGAGCGGCCGAUGUCAGAUUAGGUAGUUGGUGGGGUAAAGGCUCACCAAGACAACGAUCUGUAGCUGGUCUGAGAGGACGACCAGCCAAACUGGAACUGAGACACGGUCCAGACUCCUACGGGAGGCAGCAGUGGGGAAUUUUGGACAAUGGGCGCAAGCCUGAUCCAGCAAUGCCGCGUGCAGGAAGAAGGCCUUCGGGUUGUAAACUGCUUUUGUACGGAACGAAACGGCGAGCUCUAAUACAGUUUGCUAGUGACGGUACCGUAAGAAUAAGCACCGGCUAACUACGUGCCAGCCGCCGCAGUAAAAC
rnacentral:rRNA from 1 species